GAGUUUGAUCCUGGCUCAGGAUGAACGCUAGCGGGAGGCUUAAUACAUGCAAGUCGAGGGGUAAAUAUUGUAGCAAUACGAUAUGAGACCGGCGCACGGGUGCGUAACGCGUAUGUAACCUACCUUUAACUGGGAGAUAGCCCGGAGAAAUUCGGAUUAAUACCCCAUAACAUUAUAAUCAGGCAUCUGGUCGUAAUUAAAGUUCCGAUGGUUAAAGAUGGGCAUGCGUGACAUUAGCUUGUUGGUGAGGUAACGGCUCACCAAGGCAACGAUGUCUAGGGGUUCUGAGAGGAUGAUCCCCCACACUGGUACUGAAACACGGGCCAUACACCUACGGGUGGCAGCAGUAGGGAAUAUUGGGCAAUGGGCGAAAGCCUGACUCAGCAACGCCGCGUGCACGAUGAAGGCCUUCGGGUCGUAAAGUGCUUUUCUGAGGAAUGAGUAAGGACAGUACCUCAGGAAUAAGCCUCGGCUAACUACGUGCCAGCAGCCGCGGUAAAACGUAGGAGGCAAGCGUUAUCCGGAUUUACUGGGCGUAAAGCGUGUGUAGGCGGUUCGGCAAGUUGGAUGUGAAAGCUCCUGGCUUAACUAGGAGAGGUCGUUCAAUACUACCGAACUUGAGGGCAUCAGAGGAAGGUGGAAUUCCCGGUGUAGUGGUGAAAUGCGUAGAUAUCGGGAGGAACACCAGUGGCGAAGGCGGCCUUCUGGGAUGUUCCUGACGCUCAGACACGAAAGCUAGGGUAGCGAACGGGAUUAGAGACCCCGGUAGUCCUAGCAGUAAACGAUGUAGACUUGGUGUCGGAGGUGUCAAACCCUUCGGUAUCGUAGCUAACGCGAUAAGUCUACCGCCUGGGGACUACGGCCGCAAGGUUAAAACUCAAAGGAAUUGACGGGGGCCCGCACAAGCAGCGGAGCGUGUGGUUUAAUUCGAUGUUACACGAAGAACCUUACCCAGGUUUGACAUGUUGGUGGUAGGAAUCCGAAAGGUGACCGACCCGCAAGGGAGCCUUCACAGGUGCUGCAUGGCCUGUCGUCAGCUCGUGUCGUGAGAUGUUCGGUUAAGUUCCGCUACGAGCGCAACCCUCGCCGUAUGUACAUGGUGUCAUGGCGGGACGCGGUAUCAAGCCGAAGAGGUGGGGAUGACGUCAGUCAGCAUGGCCUUUAAUCUGGCUACCACCACGCUACAAUGGCCGGUUCAUGGGUCGCCUUAAGACCGCAAGGUGAAGACA
rnacentral:rRNA from 1 species